AUUGAACGCUGGCGGCAGGCUUAACACAUGCAAGUCGAGCGGGGGAAGGUAGCUUGCUACCGGACCUAGCGGCGGACGGGUGAGUAAUGCUUAGGAAUCUGCCUAUUAGUGGGGGACAACAUCUCGAAAGGGAUGCUAAUACCGCAUACGUCCUACGGGAGAAAGCAGGGGAUCUUCGGCCCUUGCGCUAAUAGAUGAGCCUAAGUCGGAUUAGCUAGUUGGUGGGGUAAAGGCCUACCAAGGCGACGAUCUGUAACGGGUCUGAGAGGAUGAUCCGCCACACUGGGACUGAGACACGGCCCAGACUCCUACGGGAGGCAGCAGUGGGGAAUAUUGGACAAUGGGGGGAACCCUGAUCCAGCCAUGCCGCGUGUGUGAAGAAGGCCUUAUGGUUGUAAAGCACUUUAAGCGAGGAGGAGGCUACCCUAGUUAAUACCUAGGGAUAGUGGACGUUACUCGCAGAAUAAGCACCGGCUAACUCUGUGCCAGCCGCCGCCGUAA
rnacentral:rRNA from 1 species